UGUCAGCAAUUCUUAGUUGCAGAAAGCUACCAUUAUUUCUCUAUUUUUGUUAGUAAAAAAUUUCAUUAUUUGUUUUUUAAUUAAAACCCCUAUUUUUUUAUUGCUCAACUUCAUUGUUAUUACUAAUGUGGGUAUUUUCCAGAAUCGCUGAUUAUUGCCUGAGACUUUCAUUCAUUUAUUUGUUCACUAACAGGGGUUUUAGAGAAUAGUAUCUAGACUUUUUUGCAGGAGCUUUGUUUACUGUGACUUAAUUUGAAGAAUUUUCAUUUAGCUUCAUUUUCAUUUUCAAGAAUUUUGGCUCUAUGGCCAAUGCAUAGGCUAAGGCUACUGAUAUCCUUCUGCACAGACACUUUGUCCUGCAUGUCGUCCUUGUGUUGAGAAAAAUUCUCCUUACAAAAUCAUAGAUUUAUCGCUGGAAACGAAGCAGAAGAGGGGUAGCAACAGGCAACACCAAGGAAGAUUCUAUCAAAGAGUACAGAUCAAAUUGCCAGAAAAUAUUACCAUUUUUCUUUUCACAGUUAGCGUCUUCUGUUCUUUUUUUGUGCUUCAACAAAACUUAUUUGUAUGCCCAAUCAAAAUGUUAGUGCAGAAUAUUUUUUUGUUUCAAAAUGGAUUUAUUGAUGUUCUUUAAAUUAUAAUCAAUUUUGGGUAAGGGUUUUAAACUCAAAUAGACAGGAAACUAAGUUAGGGAAUUUGUAACCAUGCACAUUUUCCUUCUAUAUACGACGCAGGGAGGAUGCAUGUGCUCACAUUUUAUCACAUCUAUUCACAGUUCCUGGUGUAUAUCUGCAAGCAACUAGGGUUUUAGUAUACUCACAGCUGACAAAGAAGCAACACUUGUGAUUGUAAUGGCGUGACAGCAACAGACAUCCAUGCUCAUGCAGGUUCCCAAAUGAGAAAUUAAAAACAAUCAAAAGCUCCAAAGCAACACUUAUUUUGUUUUGUAGAUAACUAGUUAAUUAUCUUUCGCUACAAACAUUCAAUAAUAUGCUUAGUUUUUGUAAAUAUAAAUCUUAUGCACUCUCUACUUGUAUAAUAGUUUUGAAGACAAGUUCUUACAAUACCACAACACGUUAUCUUUUUCGCACUCAAUAUCAGCUAUUAACUAUUUUCAAAAUCAUAUUAUAUGAAUAAAAAAAGUUUUACUAUC